rnacentral:rRNA from 1 species
CUACGGGAGGCAGCAGUGGGGAAUAUUGGACAAUGGGCGAAAGCCUGAUCCAGCCAUGCCGCGUGUGUGAAGAAGGCCUUCGGGUUGUAAAGCACUUUCAGUGGGGAAGAAAGCCUUGGGGCUAAUACCCUCGAGGAAGGACAUCACCCACAGAAGAAGCACCGGCUAACUCCGUGCCAGCAGCCGCGGUAAUACGGAGGGUGCGAGCGUUAAUCGGAAUUACUGGGCGUAAAGCGCGCGUAGGCGGUCUGAUAAGCCGGUUGUGAAAGCCCCGGGCUCAACCUGGGAACGGCAUCCGGAACUGUCAGGCUAGAGUGCAGGAGAGGAAGGUAGAAUUCCCGGUGUAGCGGUGAAAUGCGUAGAGAUCGGGAGGAAUACCAGUGGCGAAGGCGGCCUUCUGGACUGACACUGACGCUGAGGUGCGAAAGCGUGGGUAGCAAACAGGAUUAGAUACCCUUGUAGUC